AUCUGUAGUCAUACCUCCAUGGAUGAGCCCACUUUUGUUUGAUCUCAGAAGUUAAGCAUGGUCUGGUCUGGUUAGUACUUGGGACACAGAAUGAGACUGUCUCAAGAAACACAGCAAAUU
rnacentral:rRNA from 1 species